rnacentral:rRNA from 1 species
AUACGUAGGGUGCAAGCGUUAAUCGGAAUUACUGGGCGUAAAGCGCGCGUAGGUGGUUUUGUAAGUUGGAGGUGAAAGCCCCGGGCUCAACCUGGGAAUUGCCUCCAAAACUGCAUGACUAGAGUACGGUAGAGGGUAGUGGAAUUUCCUGUGUAGCGGUGAAAUGCGUAGAUAUAGGAAGGAACACCAGUGGCGAAGGCGACUACCUGGACUGAUACUGACACUGAGGGGCGAAAGCGUGGGGAGCAAACAGGAUUAGAUACCCUGGUAGUCCACGCCGUAAACGAUGUCAACUAGCCGUUGGGAUCCUUGAGAUCUUAGUGGCGCAGCUAACGCAUUAAGUUGACCGCCUGGGGAGUACGGCCGCAAGGUUAAAACUCAAAUGAAUUGGCGGGG